GGUUAAGCGACUAAGCGUACACGGUGGAUGCCCUGGCAGUCAGAGGCGAUGAAGGACGUGCUAAUCUGCGAAAAGCGCCGGCGAGGUGAUAUGAACCCUUGACCCGGCGAUGUCCGAAUGGGGAAACCCAGUGCAAUCCGUUGCACUAUCGUUAACUGAAUACAUAGGUUAACGAGGCGAACCGGGGGAACUGAAACAUCUAAGUACCCCGAGGAAAAGAAAUCAACCGAGAUUCCCCCAGUAGCGGCGAGCGAACGGGGAGCAGCCCAGAGUCUGAAUCAGCUUGUGUGUUAGUGGAAGCGUCUGGAAAGUCGCACGGUACAGGGUGAAAGUCCCGUACACGAAAAUGCACAGGCUGUGAACUCGAAGAGUAGGGCGGGACACGUGGUAUCCUGUCUGAAUAUGGGGGGACCAUCCUCCAAGGCUAAAUACUCCUGACUGACCGAUAGUGAACCAGUACCGUGAGGGAAAGGCGAAAAGAACCCCGGCGAGGGGAGUGAAAAAGAACCUGAAACCGUGUACGUACAAGCAGUGGGAGCACCUUCGUGGUGUGACUGCGUACCUUUUGUAUAAUGGGUCAGCGACUUAUAUUCUGUAGCAAGGUUAACCGUAUAGGGGAGCCGAAGGGAAACCGAGUCUUAACUGGGCGUUAAGUUGCAGGGUAUAGACCCGAAACCCGGUGAUCUAGCCAUGGGCAGGUUGAAGGUUGGGUAACACUAACUGGAGGACCGAACCGACUAAUGUUGAAAAAUUAGCGGAUGACCUGUGGCUGGGGGUGAAAGGCCAAUCAAACCGGGAGAUAGCUGGUUCUCCCCGAAAGCUAUUUAGGUAGCGCCUCGUGAACUCAUCUUCGGGGGUAGAGCACUGUUUCGGCUAGGGGGCCAUCCCGGCUUACCAACCCGAUGCAAACUACGAAUACCGAAGAAUGUUAUCACGGGAGACACACGGCGGGUGCUAACGUCCGUCGUGAAGAGGGAAACAACCCAGACCGCCAGCUAAGGUCCCAAAGUCAUGGUUAAGUGGGAAACGAUGUGGGAAGGCCCAGACAGCCAGGAUGUUGGCUUAGAAGCAGCCAUCAUUUAAAGAAAGCGUAAUAGCUCACUGGUCGAGUCGGCCUGCGCGGAAGAUGUAACGGGGCUAAACCAUGCACCGAAGCUGCGGCAGCGACGCUUAUGCGUUGUUGGGUAGGGGAGCGUUCUGUAAGCCGUUGAAGGUGGCCUGUGAGGGUUGCUGGAGGUAUCAGAAGUGCGAAUGCUGACAUAAGUAACGAUAAAGCGGGUGAAAAGCCCGCUCGCCGGAAGACCAAGGGUUCCUGUCCAACGUUAAUCGGGGCAGGGUGAGUCGACCCCUAAGGCGAGGCCGAAAGGCGUAGUCGAUGGGAAACAGGUUAAUAUUCCUGUACUUGGUGUUACUGCGAAGGGGGGACGGAGAAGGCUAUGUUAGCCGGGCGACGGUUGUCCCGGUUUAAGCAUGUAGGCGGAGGUUCCAGGUAAAUCCGGUACCUUUUAACGCUGAGGUGUGAUGACGAGGCACUACGGUGCUGAAGUAACAAAUGCCCUGCUUCCAGGAAAAGCCUCUAAGCAUCAGGUAACAUCAAAUCGUACCCCAAACCGACACAGGUGGUCAGGUAGAGAAUACCAAGGCGCUUGAGAGAACUCGGGUGAAGGAACUAGGCAAAAUGGUGCCGUAACUUCGGGAGAAGGCACGCUGAUAUGUAGGUGAAGCCCCUGCGGGUGGAGCUGAAAUCAGUCGAAGAUACCAGCUGGCUGCAACUGUUUAUUAAAAACACAGCACUGUGCAAACACGAAAGUGGACGUAUACGGUGUGACGCCUGCCCGGUGCCGGAAGGUUAAUUGAUGGGGUUAGCGGUAACGCGAAGCUCUUGAUCGAAGCCCCGGUAAACGGCGGCCGUAACUAUAACGGUCCUAAGGUAGCGAAAUUCCUUGUCGGGUAAGUUCCGACCUGCACGAAUGGCGUAAUGAUGGCCAGGCUGUCUCCACCCGAGACUCAGUGAAAUUGAACUCGCUGUGAAGAUGCAGUGUACCCGCGGCAAGACGGAAAGACCCCGUGAACCUUUACUAUAGCUUGACACUGAACACUGGUCCUUGAUGUGUAGGAUAGGUGGGAGGCUUUGAAGCGUGGACGCCAGUCUGCGUGGAGCCAUCCUUGAAAUACCACCCUUUAAUGGCUGGUGUUCUAACGUAGACCCGUAAUCCGGGUUGCGGACAGUGUCUGGUGGGUAGUUUGACUGGGGCGGUCUCCUCCCAAAGAGUAACGGAGGAGCACGAAGGUUAGCUAAUCCUGGUCGGACAUCAGGAGGUUAGUGCAAUGGCAUAAGCUAGCUUGACUGCGAGAGUGACGGCUCGAGCAGGUGCGAAAGCAGGUCAUAGUGAUCCGGUGGUUCUGAAUGGAAGGGCCAUCGCUCAACGGAUAAAAGGUACUCCGGGGAUAACAGGCUGAUACCGCCCAAGAGUUCAUAUCGACGGCGGUGUUUGGCACCUCGAUGUCGGCUCAUCACAUCCUGGGGCUGAAGUAGGUCCCAAGGGUAUGGCUGUUCGCCAUUUAAAGUGGUACGCGAGCUGGGUUUAGAACGUCGUGAGACAGUUCGGUCCCUAUCUGCCGUGGGCGCUGGAGAAUUGAGGGGGGCUGCUCCUAGUACGAGAGGACCGGAGUGGACGCAUCACUGGUGUUCGGGUUGUCAUGCCAAUGGCACUGCCCGGUAGCUAAAUGCGGAAGAGAUAAGUGCUGAAAGCAUCUAAGCACGAAACUUGCCCCGAGAUGAGUUCUCCCUGAGACUUAAAGUCUCCUGAAGGAACGUUAAAGACGAUGACGUUGAUAGGUCGGGUGUGUAAGCGCAGCGAUGCGUUGAGCUAACCGAUACUAAUGAACCGUGAGGCUUAACCUU
rnacentral:rRNA from 1 species